rnacentral:rRNA from 1 species
UACGAAGGUUGCAAGCGUUACUCGGAAUUACUGGGCGUAAAGCGUGCGUAGGCGGUUCGUUAAGUCUGACGUGAAAUCCCCGGGCUCAACCUGGGACGUGCGUUGGAAACUGGCGAUCUAGAGUACGGUAGAGGGUGGUGGAAUUCCCGGUGUAGCAGUGAAAUGCGUAGAGAUCGGGAGGAACACUCGUGGCGAAGGCGGCCACCUGGACCAGUACUGACGCUGAGGCACGAAAGCGUGGGGAGCAAACAGG